rnacentral:rRNA from 1 species
UACGUAGGGUCCAAGCGUUAAUCGGAUUUACUGGGCGUAAAGGGCGCGUAGGUGGUAAAGCAAGUAAGAUGUGAAAGCCCUGGGCUUAACCUGGGAAGUGCAUCUUAAACUGCUUAACUAGAGUAUGGUAGAGGGUAGUGGAAUUUCCGGUGUAGCGGUGAAAUGCGUAGAUAUCGGAAGGAACGCCAGUGGUGAAGACGACUACCUGGAUCAAUACUGACACUGAGGCGCGAAAGCGUGGGGAUCAAACAGG